rnacentral:rRNA from 1 species
UACGAAGGGUGCAAGCGUUACUCGGAAUUACUGGGCGUAAAGCGUGCGUAGGUGGUUCGUUAAGUCUGCCGUGAAAGCCCCGGGCUUAACCUGGGAAUUGCAUCUGAUACUGUCUGACUAGAGCAUGCUAGAGGGAAGUGGAAUUCCAGGUGUAGCGGUGAAAUGCGUAGAUAUCUGGAGGAACACCAAUGGCGAAGGCAACUUCCUGGGGCAAUACUGACACUGAUGUGCGAAAGCGUGGGGAGCAAACAGG